UGAGUCAGCACCCAUCCUCCUCAGUAGGAAAGUUGCCAGGGACUGUUGGGGCCUGAGGCUGGCAGAGGCAAUGGGCAUUGUGCAAAGAGGAGGGCCCUUGGGAGGGACGGGAGCCAAGUGGUCAGCAGAACCCCUGCCCAUCUUAGUGAGAGCACUUAGGUCCAGGUCUUCCUGGAGUCCGGUUGCUUGCGAAUGCAGCCCAAAGCGGGUGGUAAACUCCAUCUAAGGCUAAAUACCAGCACGAGACCGAUAGUCAACAAGUACCCUAAGGGAAAGUUGAAAAGAACUUUGCAGAGAGCACUGAAAGGCUCUUUGUGUGGGCCCCAGGAGGAGUCCCUGAGGAGCCUUUACUGACCUUACUAGUAAAUAGCAGGUUAAUUUUGAUGACCUAAACACUCAACAGGAAAGUCUCGUCUAAGCAGAGAGUAAAAUAGUUAAUAGCAACGUAAAAAGUAGGGAAAGAUCUUUGUUUCUCCUUAAAAUUAAAAGAUAAAGGUAGCUGGGGAGAAACAGCAUAGAUACAGGCCACAGUAAAGACCAAGGACAGACUUCUGGCCUUUAACCUGUUACUUAUUAAAAGCACAAAUUUGUAUUUUUUCCCCUGAAACAAUCAGGAACUCUUCUGUCAGCCUCCAAAUGCCC
rnacentral:ncRNA from 1 species